GACUUUGUGGCCUAGUGGUUAGGGCAUCUGUCUUACAUAUGAAACGAUUGAACAAGUUUAUGCAUCACAGAAGAUCCCCGGUUCGAUCCCGGGCGGAGUCA